rnacentral:rRNA from 1 species
GAGCGGCGGACGGGUGAGUAACGCGUGGGUAACCGUGCCUCAUACAGGGGGAUAACAGUUGGAAACGGCUGCUAAUACCGCAUAAGCGCACAGUACCGCAUGGUACGGUGUGAAAAACUCCGGUGGUAUGAGAUGGACCCGCGUCUGAUUAGGUAGUUGGUGGGGUAACGGCCUACCAAGCCGACGAUCAGUAGCCGACCUGAGAGGGUGACCGGCCACAUUGGGACUGAGACACGGCCCAA